rnacentral:rRNA from 1 species
AUUGAACGCUGGCGGCAUGCCUAACACAUGCAAGUCGAACGGGCGUAGCGAUACCCUAGUGGCGGACGGGUGAGUAACGCGUAGGAAUCUGCCCCGUAGUGGGGGACAACCUGGGGAAACCCAGGCUAAUACGGCAUGAGCUCGGGAGAGGAAAGCGGGGGACCUUCGGGCCUCGCGCUAUGGGAUGAGCCUACGUCCGAUUAGCUAGUUGGCGGGGUAAGGGCCCACCAAGGCGAUGAUCGGUAGCUGGUCUGAAAGGACGAUCAGCCACACUGGGACUGAGACACGGCCCAGACUCCUACGGGAGGCAGCAGUGCGGAAUAUUGGACAAUGGGCGCAAGCCUGAUCCAGCAAUGCCGCGUGGGUGAAGACGGCCUGCGGGUUGUAAAGCCCUUUAGGCGGSGAGGAACGGCGUCGUGCGAACAGUGCGGCGUUCUGACGUUACCCGCGGAAUAAGCACCGGCUAACUCCGUGCCAGCAGCCGCGGUAAUACGGCGGGUGCGAGCGUUAAUCGGAAUUACUGGGCGUAAAGCGUGCGUAGGCGGUUUGGUCAGUCAGCCGUGAAAGCCCCGGGCUUAACCUGGGAAUGGCGGUUGAGACGGCUGGACUUGUGUGGGCUAGAGGAUCGUGGAAUUCCGGGUGUAGCGGUGAAAUGCGUAGAGAUCCGGAGGAACACCGAUGGCGAAGGCAGCGGUCUGGGGCCACACUGACGCUGAGGCACGACAGCGUGAGGAGCAAACAGGAUUAGAUACCCUGGUAGUCCACGCGGUAAACGAUGAGCACUAGACGUCGGGCGGGUGACCGUCCGGUGUCGCAGCUAACGCGCUAAGUGCUCCGCCUGGCGAGUACGGCCGCAAGGUUGAAACUCAAAGGGAUUGAC